UACGUAGGGUGCAAGCGUUAAUCGGAAUCACUGGGCGUAAAGGGUGCGUAGGCGGGUCUUUAAGUCAGGGGUGAAAUCCUGGAGCUCAACUCCAGAACUGCCUUUGAUACUGAAGAUCUUGAGUUCGGGAGAGGUGAGUGGAACUGCGAGUGUAGAGGUGAAAUUCGUAGAUAUUCGCAAGAACACCAGUGGCCGAAGGCGGCUCACUGGCCCGAUACUGACGCUGAGGCACGAAAGCGUGGGGAGCAAACAGG
rnacentral:rRNA from 1 species